CUGUUACCCCAUCCACUCCCCCUUGGCUCUAACUUGUCUCUUUCCUCCAUCCUGCCAGGUUCUCCAUGAAACUCCCAGCAUGAAGCUUCUCGCUGCUGUCCUGUUCCUGUCUGUGCUAGGUGCCAAGGCCUCUCCCCUCGGUGAGGAACCCAGUCCAAGGCUGGACCAGAUUGCAGACACCAUCCAACAUUACCUGGAGCAACUUCUCAGAACGCUCGCGGAGCUGAUCCAGAAAUCCGAGCUGGCCCAGGAGAUCGAGGCAUGGAGACUCACUGGGAAAAUUUCUAACUUCUUUGAUGACCUAGACCGUAAAGUGCCCCCCAAGGCCAAGGAGCAGCUGAGGAACCUGAGCAGGCCGGUGGAAGAAAGUUUGUCACAGCUGUGGGAACUGGAGAGGAAGAUGCAGCCCUACGAGACACAGCUGCAUGCUGUCCUAGUGUCCUACACCGAGGGGCCGCUGGAGAUGGUGGAGCGCUACAGCAAGACCCUGCUUGGUGGCAAGGUGUACAGCAUCAUCCCAUCUAGGGUGAAGCUGCAGGAGCAGCUGGGCUCCUAUGCCCAGGAGCUGGGGCUGCAGGAGUUCGAGCGUGGUCUGGCAGCCUACGUCAGGGACCUGCACCAGAAGCUCAGCCCCUAUGCCGAGGACUUGCGUGGCUGGCUGAACUCCCGUUGGGAUGCCCUCAUGCAAUGUUUCAAUGAAGAGACCACUGGGGGUGCCUCAUAGGCCUCGUCCAUACCUGGAGCCCAAGGCAAUCCCCUAGGAUUGAAGGGGGACAGCUCCUCUGUAAGGCACCUUGCAGCAGGCUCCCUUCCCCAUCCCGCCGUCCGUCACUCAAUAAACCAGCUG
rnacentral:lncRNA from 1 species